CAAUAGCGUAUAUUAAAGUUGUUGCAGUUAAAAAGCUCGUAGUUGGAUUUCUGAUGAGAGUACGGGUCGGCCUUAACGGGUUGCACUGUUGUUACGUCUCGUCGUUUCGAGGGGAAUGGGUUCGCUAUUAGGUUAGUGGGCUCGGGAACCUUGUCGUUUACUGUGAAAAAAUUAGAGUGUUCAAAGCAGGCCUUUGCUGUGAAUACAUUAGCAUGGAAUAAUAAGAUAGGACUGUAGUGCUAUUUUGUUGGUUUGCGUACUAUGGCAAUGAUUAAUAGGGAUAGUUGGGGGUAUUCAUAUUCAAUUGUCAGAGGUGAAAUUCUUGGAUUUAUGGAAGAUGAACUACUGCGAAAGCAUUUACCAAGGAUGUUUUCAUUAA
rnacentral:rRNA from 1 species